rnacentral:rRNA from 1 species
ACUCCUACGGGAGGCAGCAGUGGGGAAUAUUGCACAAUGGGCGAAAGCCUGAUGCAGCCAUGCCGCGUGUGUGAAGAAGGCCUUCGGGUUGUAAAGCACUUUCAGUUGUNAGGAAAGGAGUGUAGUUAAUAACNNCAUU